UCUGGAGUGCUCACCUACACUAGGCUUGGGGACCAUGUUGGUGCCAUUUCCCCAGACUGGGUACUGACCUCUUCACAGUUCCCGUGGCGCCUGAAGGACUGGAGAGUUUAUGUUCCCAUGUCUCCUCUGGGUGUUGGCCAGAGCUGUGAUCACCAUGACGGGAAUCCUCCUUAUUUGCUCCUUAAGCAAAUAAUCCUUGUGUUUUUGAUUAUGCCCUUAAUCUUUGUCCUGAACUGCUGAUCUUCAGAGGGACCCAGGAGAAGAUGAGUCCACCGUUUCUACUGGGGAAAAAAAAAACAAAACAACAACAACAAAAAAACACAUCAAACUGUGGGACACUGGAUGGGUGGAUGGGCUAGGCCUGAAAAGAGAUUGCCAAAUACAAGUCCCUUCCAGAUGAAAAGUGGAUCCUUUAGGAAAAGGAGCUGUCAUCUUCAAAGUCAUCUCAUGAUCCGAAAAUGGCUGUUGCAGCUCCAGCCAACAGAGACACCCUGAAGGCCAGAAGAAGGAAGAAAGGCAAAGAUUCAUUAUCUUGAAUUUUUCAAUCUUCCGCUUUUCUUUAUAAUUUUAUUACCUGUAAGUAUACUCCUAAAAACCUUAUUUGGCCCACAGAGUAGGAGAAAAUCUUUGCAAUGAAGCAACCGACAAGGGAUUAAUCUCCAAAAUAUACAACAUCUCGCACAGCUUUAUAUGAAAGAUCCAAUCAAAAACUUUUCAGAAGAUCUCAAUGGACAUUUCUCCAAAAAAGACAGAUAGAUGGCUAAAAAGCACAUGAAAAGAUGCUCAAAUCACUAAUUAUUUAAAGAACUGCAAAUCAAAACUACAGUGCACUCCACAGAAAGUCUACAAACAAACGCCAGAGAAGUUGUGAAGAAAAGGGAACACUCCUACAAUGUUGGUGGGAAUAUAAAUUGGUGCAGCUACUAUGGAAAACAAUAUGGACGUUCCUUUAAAAACUAAACAUGGAACUACCGUACGAUUCAGCAAUCCCACUCCUAGGCACAUAUCUGGAGAAAAUCAUAAAUUGAAAAGAUAUGUGCACCCCAGUAUUCAUUGCAGCACUAUUUACAAUAGCCAAGACAUGGAAGCAGUCUAAAUGUCCAUAAACAGAGGAAUGGAUAAAGAAGAUGUGGUACAUAUGGAAUAUAUAUGGAAUAAUGGAAUAUAACCCAGCCACAAAAAAGAAUGAAAUAAUGUCAUUUGCAGUAACAUGGAUGGACCCAAAAACUGUCAUACUAAGUGAAGUCAGAUAGAGAAAGACAGAUGUUAUAUGAGGUUACUAAUAUAUGGAAACUAGUAAAAAUUGUAUAAAAGAACUCAUGCACAAAACAAAAACAUACUCAAAGAUUUCAAAACCAAACUUAUGAUUACCAAAUGGGGAAUGUUGGGGGGAAGGAUAAAUUGGGAGGUUGAAACUGACAUAUAAACACUACUGUAUAUGGAAUGGAUGCGUAACAAGGACCUACUGUAUCACACAGGGAAAUCUACUCAAUACUCUGUAGUGACUUAUAUGGGAAAAGAAUCUGAAAAGGAAUGGAUAUAUGUAUACAUAUAACUGAUUCACUUUGUUCUAUAUCUGAAACUAAUGCAACAUUGUGAGUCAACUAUACUCCAAUAAAAUUUUUUACAAAAGUAA
rnacentral:lncRNA from 1 species